CCUUAGUACGGCGAGUGAACAGGACCAGUCCAGCGCUAAAUCUCGGCGUUUCGGCGCCGCGACGUGUAGCGUAUAGCCGACGUGUUUAGCUGUGGUCGAAGGCACAAGUUUCCCAUGACCGGGGCGCCAGAGAAGGUGAUAGACCUGUAGCGCUUGAGGCCUUAGCUAAUUGCGUCGUCUUGGAGUCGGGUUGUUUGGGAUCGCAGCCCAAAGCAGGUGGUAAACUUCAUCUAAGACUAAAUAUUCCUACGAGACCGAUAGCGAACAAGUACCGUGAGGGAAAGUUGAAAAGCACUUUGAAGAGAGAGUUAAAGAGGACGUGAAACCGGUAGGAUGGAAACGGAUAGAGCCAGCGAACUCGUUCGUAUUCAGCUAAAGGCUUGUGGUCGCCUUGCGUUGGGUUGUUUAACGCGCUCGACGUUUGUCCGGCUGCGAGCUGAGGUGCAUUUGCGGACGUAUGCGCUGAGACUUGUGGGGCAUUGGUUGGACCCGUUUGCUAGAGGCCGUCCUUUGGACGGAACCUGGCGGCGGCGACGGCUGUUUGCUUUGCUCGUACGUGGCACGGCCUACGAACCUUGGCUGCGUCGUUGUUUUGUUGCCGUGGUAUCGCAUGCGAUGCCUAGCAGUGAGGCUGCGAUUCGGUUGAGUGUUCUCGUGUCGCUUCUCGGUGUAAAAGCUGGUCAUCUCUCUGACCCGUCUUGAAACACGGACCAAGGAGUUUAGCGUAUGCGCGAGUCAUUGGGUGCCUAAAACCCAUAGGCGUAAUGAAAGUAAAGGCUUGUUUGUCAAGCUGACAUGCGAGUGUUUGGGCUUCGGCCCCGCCAUGCAGCAUGGUCCCGUUUCGGUCGCUUGCGACGGAGCGGAGACAGAGCGUAUGCGCUGAGACCCGAAAGAUGGUGAACUAUUCCUGAGCAGGACGAAGCCAGAGGAAACUCUGGUGGAAGUCCGAAGCGAUUCUGACGUGCAAAUCGAUCGUCUGACUUGGGUAUAGGGCGAAGAUAUCGAACC
rnacentral:rRNA from 1 species